ACGCUCGACACCUACGGGAGGCAGCAGUGGGGAAUAUUGCACAAUGGGGGAAACCCUGAUGCAGCGACGCCGCGUGAGCGAAGAAGUAUUUCGGUAUGUAAAGCUCUAUCAGCAGGGAAGAAGAAAGACGGUACCUGACUAAGAAGCCCCGGCUAACUACGUGCCAGCAGCCACGGUAAUCUGAGGCGGGCUGGCAAGGC
rnacentral:rRNA from 1 species